UAUCCCAAUAGCGGAGGAAAAGAAACUAACAAGGAUUCCCCUAGUAACGGCGAGUGAACCGGGAAAAGCUCAAAUUUGAAAUCUGGCGUCCUCAGGGCGUCCGAGUUGUAAUCUAUAGAGGCGUUUUCCGUGCCGGACCGUGUCCAAGUCCCUUGGAACAGGGUAUCAAAGAGGGUGACAAUCCCGUACUUGACACGACUACCGGUGCUCUGUGAUACGUCUUCUACGAGUCGAGUUGUUUGGGAAUGCAGCUCAAAAUGGGUGGUGAGUUCCAUCUAAAGCUAAAUAUUGGCGAGAGACCGAUAGCGAACAAGUACCGUGAGGGAAAGAUGAAAAGCACUUUGGAAAGAGAGUUAAACAGUACGUGAAAUUGUUGAAAGGGAAACGAUUGAAGUCAGUCGUGACCGAGAGGCUCAGCCGGCUCUGCCGGUGUAUUCCCCUCGGUCGGGUCAACAUCAGUUUUGUCCGGUGGAUAAGGGCGGUAGGAAGGUGGCACCCACGGGUGUGUUAUAGCCUGCCGUCGCAUACACUGGGUGAGACUGAGGAAUGCAGCUCGCCUUUAUGGCCGGGGUUCGCCCACGUCCGAGCUUUGGAUGUUGACAAAAUGGCUUUAAACGUCCCGUCUAACCA
rnacentral:rRNA from 1 species